rnacentral:rRNA from 1 species
AGAGUUUGAUCAUGGCUCAGAACGAACGCUGGCGGCGUGCUUAACACAUGCAAGUCGAGUGCGCGUGCCGUAGCAAUACGGUAUGGCGCACGGCGCACGGGUGCGUAACACGUGGGCAAUCUGCCCUCCGGUGGGGAAUAACCCCGCGAAAGCGGGGCUAAUUCCGCAUAACAUUCCCUGGACUCUGGUUCGGGGAUUCAAAGCAGCAAUGCGCCGGAGGAGGAGCCCGCGCCCGAUUAGCUAGUUGGUGAGGUGACGGCUCACCAAGGCAAUGAUCGGUAGCUGGUCUGAGAGGAUGGCCAGCCACACUGGAACUGAGACACGGUCCAGACUCCUACGGGAGGCAGCAGUGGGGAAUCUUGCGCAAUGGGCGAAAGCCUGACGCAGCGACGCCGCGUGGGGGAUGAAGCUUCUCGGAGUGUAAACCCCUUUCGACCGGGAAGAAUGCCCGCAAGGGAGUGACGGUACCGGUAGAAGAAGCCCCGGCUAACUACGUGCCAGCAGCCGCGGUAAGACGUAGGGGGCCAGCGUUGUUCGGAAUUACUGGGUGUAAAGGGUUCGUAGGCGGUGUGGCAAGUCGGGAGUGAAAUUUCUGGGCUUAACCCAGAAGCUGCUUCCGAAACUGCUGUGCUAGAGUGCGGGAGAGGCGCGUGGAAUUGCAGGUGUAGCGGUGAAAUGCGUAGAUAUCUGCAGGAACACCCGUGGCGAAAGCGGCGCGCUGGACCGUUACUGACGCUGAGGAACGAAAGCUAGGGGAGCAAACAGGAUUAGAUACCCUGGUAGUCCUAGCCCUAAACGAUCAGGACUUGGGGUGCCUUCCGUUCGGAAGUCGUCCCGGAGCUAACGCGUUAAGUCCUGCACCUGGGGAGUACGGUCGCAAGACUGAAACUCAAAGGAAUUGACGGGGCCCGCACAAGCGGUGGAACAUGUGGUUCAAUUCGACGCUACGCGAGGAACCU